UUAGAGGAAGUAAAAGUCGUAACAAGGUUUCCGUAGGUGAACCUGCGGAAGGAUCAUUAAAGAAUCGCCCCGUUUUUUGAAAUGGGUUCUAUUCCCAAACCGUGUAUACAUACCUUUGUUGCUUUGGUAGGCCGCCUUUUAGGCGUCGGCUCCGGCUGACUGCGCCUGCCAGAGGACCCAAACUCUUUUGUUUAGUGAUGUCUGAGUACUAUAUAAUAGUUAAAACUUUCAACAACGGAUCUCUUGGUUCUGGCAUCGAUGAAGAACGCAGCGAAAUGCGAUAAGUAAUGUGAAUUGCAGAAUUCAGUGAAUCAUCGAAUCUUUGAACGCACAUUGCGCCCCUUGGUAUUCCGAGGGGCAUGCCUGUUCGAGCGUCAUUAUAACCACUCAAGCCUCGGCUUGGUCUUGGGGUUCGCGGUCUCGCGGCCCUUAAAAUCAGUGGCGGUGCCGUCUGGCUCUGAGCGUAGUAAUUUUCUCGCUAUAGGGUCCAGGUGACCACCUGCCAAAACCCCCCAUUCUUUACGGUUGACCUCGGAUCAGGUAGGGAUACCCGCUGAACUUAAGCAUAUCAAUA
rnacentral:rRNA from 1 species